UACAGAGGGUGCGAGCGUUAAUCGGAAUUACUGGGCGUAAAGGGCGCGUAGGUGGGUCGUUAAGUUAGGUGUGAAAGCCCUGGGCUUAACCUGGGAACUGCACUUAAAACUGGCGAUCUAGAGUAGAGUAGAGGGGUGAGGAAUUUCCGGUGUAGCGGUGAAAUGCGUAGAUAUCGGAAGGAACACCAGUGGCGAAGGCGUCACUCUGGACUCAUACUGACACUGAGGCGCGAAAGCGUGGGGAGCGAACAGG
rnacentral:rRNA from 1 species